CCUCUCUUUUAAUAGCCGCCGCCCACGUCAACUCCCUCUCCUCCACCAAAUCCGCCCAUCUCCAUUGAUUUAUGAGGGAAAAACUACGGAGAAAUCGGAUCUGCUCCCAUCCUUCACUCUCUUGCGUGGAUUGGAUUUGAGCUUCUCUCCAAGGUACGUUCAUGGUGUUCUUGGAAGUCCCUUCGAUUUCUUGAAAUUUCUUGUAAAUCCACUCAAGAUAGAAGCAAUGUGUGUUGUAUGGAUGGAUUUCUCUAUGGAUUUACACUCUAUUGGGUGAGAUCGAGAGAAAACACGGUUGAACUGUUCAUGCUCAGUUGAACCCAUCCCUUGGGUCGAUUGAACCAUUCAGGAACGAGUUCAUCAUGUUUCCCUCUUCGAUUUCAUCACCACACCUUGUAUUAGUUGUCUCACACACCUUGUCUGUCAUUUGGAAGAUGGUGCGUCCUCGAAAGCCCUAUGCUGUGGAGAGUGAUUUGGAGGACUCUUCCGCCGAGAUCGAAGAAGAAGUUAUUUUCUAAAUCUUUUUUAAAAUAAAUUUCUACACCAUAAAUUUUCUACUAAAACAUGCAAUAAUAUAGAUUCAGUGGGUAGAUCAUUUCAUAAGGAAGUCAAUAAAACAAGUUUCACGAUUUUUGCAGCUACCAAACAUGAUAUAUGCAUUUUUGAAUAUAUUAAGAAAUCUGUAGAUUUGAAGCAAAAGGC
rnacentral:lncRNA from 1 species